rnacentral:rRNA from 1 species
AACGAACGCUGGCGGCAUGCCUAACACAUGCAAGUCGAACGAGACCUUCGGGUCUAGUGGCGCACGGGUGCGUAACGCGUGGGAACCUGCCCUUAGGUUCGGAAUAACUCCCCGAAAGGGGUGCUAAUACCGGAUAAUGUCUUCGGACCAAAGAUUUAUCGCCUUUGGAUGGGCCCGCGUUGGAUUAGCUAGUUGGUAGGGUAAAAGCCUACCAAGGCGACGAUCCAUAGCUGGUCUGAGAGGAUGAUCAGCCACACUGGGACUGAGACACGGCCCAGACUCCUACGGGAGGCAGGAGUGGGGAAUAUUGGAAAAAGGGCGAAAGGCUGAACCAGCAAUGCCGCGUGAGUGAUGAAGGGCUUAGGGUUGUAAAGCUCUUUUACCCGGGAUGAUAAUGACAGUACCGGGAGAAUAAGCUCCGGCUAACUCCGUG